rfam:Xenorhabdus innexi strain HGB1681 (deposited as PTA-6826 in the American Type Culture Collection) genome assembly, scaffold: XIS1_scaffold1
AUUUCUCUGAGGUGUUCGUGAGCGGGGAUGUCCCCUGAGCCGAUAUUUCAUAUCUGAUAGAAUGUGGUGCUCCGUUUCUUGUGAGCAUGCUUGGCUAGUCCAAGAAGCCUAAUAGGGGCGACACCAUGUUCACCUUGAACCAAGGGUUCAAGGGUUACCACCUGCAGCGGCAUCUUGGAGAACCC